AAAAAGGGUUGAGGACCGUGAGGGUGGGCUGAUGAUACUGUAAUUUUCUGCACCCCUCCGAACGUUCUCGUCGCCCUGCCGUCCCUCCUCUCCUUCCCCUCCGCCUAUUGACGGCUGCUCCCCGGUCCAUCACAUUGCCACCGCCCUCCUGCUCCUGCACCCCCUUCGACCUCCUCUUCCACGUCGCCUCCCUCGCCUUCGCCCUCCUCUGACCGACGCUGCCCUCUGGUCUAUCGCCACCUUCCUGCUUCUCCUCCCCAUGUUGUAGCUACCCACUGCGAUCUCCAGAACUCCUGUAGCUGUCGGAGGGAGCCUCAGCAGGAGCAGGAGGUGUGUCCCACGCGGCAGGGAGGUGAGGGAUGAGAGGAACCCGCUAGACUUUUCAAAUCAUCAUAACAAAUGGCUAAGAUGAAUAAAACCCUACUUUUCCCUUCCGCCAUGAGAUCACCGUCUCGUUUCCUCUCCGGAGAUCUCUCCGCCUCCGGGCAUCGAAUCCCUCAGCUUCUUCUCCCCCGACGGCGCCGGCGAGGGUGCCCCGACCGGCGUUCCAUGCUCCGCCGGCCGCCGACCGCCAGGCCGUGGAGGCUGCGCUGGAAUUCGUGCAGCUCCAGGGCAACGGUGCUCCGCCCCGUGAAGCGAUUCGAGCCAGCAUCCAGCGCGGCGCCUAUACCUUUCUCUAUGUCCAGAGUUCUCCUCGGGAUUCGUAUUCCUCUUGUUUCCAAUGUAUGUUAAAAAUUUGAAUUAUAUUAAUUACAACAAUCAAAACGAAACUUCCCAUAAGCUUAUGAUUUCAGGGGAAGAAGAAUCAAGGGGAUCCAGCUCAGGUUUUCUUUUCUAAUCCAUAUGAAUGGUGGAACAACAGGAAGUACACGCCAAUUUAGGAAGCGCAAGGAUACUCACGAAUUCUUGUGGCUCUUUCCAGAUGAUCCUCGGAUAAGAAAGCAGCUUCAACUGUAUGACUCCAAGAUGACAGGAAACCAUCAGAUUAAUGUCAGCGGAUGGUAAGAGGUGGAUGAAUGGGAGCCCUAGGAUUUGGUAUGGUUCAACUCACAAGUCUAGGAAGAGGAAUUCCUGUUGCUUGCACUGAGUAGUGAACCUUUCUAAUUUACCCAAUUCAUGCAAUGCCAAGGCAUUAAACCUCAAGGUGAUGUUCAGGAUGAAAAGAAUAGAAGCAUUAAGCGGGACCAAAGCAUUUGGUGCCAAUAAGUAUUGAAAUUUUACACCAAAAUGAAGAAAGAAAAAGGAAAGACAUAUCAUCAUAACCAGACUGAGAAAUCAAGUUGUGACAUUAGUUUGGAAAGGAAAAAACUUCAAUUUUGCAAUGUUCUGAGAGUUGUUAAGCUGAAGUGGGAAGUGCAUGUUGGAGAAGCUGUUAGCAAAUCACCUAAUGCCAGAAUUAUACUGUUGUACUGGCUGUGCUUGACAUUAUCUUCUGAAGGAUUAAUCUAGAGACUCGUGAUCAAGGCUGUUCGUUAUGAUAAACCCCAACUAACCUCAUUUAUGUCUAGCUAAAGCUAUUGCAUGGAUUUAGUUGCUUGUGGAUUUGCUUGGCAAUCCGAACACAUGCACUGACUGAUGGGGUUGCUGCAUUUGAAAGGCUUGCAUUCGGCACAUUUUGGCUAGAUCCUACUUGAGUCUAAUUAUUCCUGAUUUUUAUCUAACGAUGGAUAUUGCGCAGAUAAGGUUGCAUAUGGGAUUACUUGCCAAUUUAUUUAUUUGUCAUAUUUAUCAAGAAUGUGAUGCAUUGGCAAAGGGAUUGCUGCACAUGGGAAACUUUCUAUGCUUCAACAGUGUUUGACCGAAUCCUCCUUCAGUCUUGUUUGAUUGAGUUGAACUGUUGUGUGUCGUUGUCGGGAGUUCUGUAGAUGAAUGAACUGCCUACAGCCCUCUUUUCUGGGGAGAAAAUGGUAACAGAUAUAACAGCUCCAAUUAUCAUUCUUUGACACUCGCAUAUAUGUAAGAGCUCAUUUACGAUGAUUGUUUUAUUACGCCCAAGUUAUUUA